rnacentral:rRNA from 1 species
ACAGAGGGAGCUUGCUCCUUGGGUGACGAGUGGCGGACGGGUGAGUAAUGUCUGGGGAUCUGCCCGAUAGAGGGGGAUAACCACUGGAAACGGUGGCUAAUACCGCAUAACGUCGCAAGACCAAAGAGGGGGACCUUCGGGCCUCUCACUAUCGGAUGAACCCAKAUGGKAUUAGCUAGUAGGCGGGGUAAUGGCCCACCUAGGCGACGAUCCCUAGCUGGUCUGAGAGGAUGACCAGCCACACUGGAACUGAGACACGGUCCAGACUCCUACGGGAGGCAGCAGUGGGGAAUAUUGCACAAUGGGCGCAAGCCUGAUGCASCCAUGCCGCGUGUAUGAARAAGG